UCCCGGAUUUUAAGGAUGCAUCGGCUGUAUCCUUCGCGGCCCAACGUAUCCCAAGAUCCUUCACGGCCCAACGUAUCCCUCCCAAGAUUCAUUGCGCAUUCAAUCCAAAAAAUAAAACAAAUAAUGGCGGAGAAUGUGGAUUUGACUUUUUCAUUUAAAUGGAGCAAGGAGCAUACUGCUCAAUUGAUCAAACUCAGGGGGGAGAACGACGAGCUCUUCACCGGGGUGAAACAUUCGGCGAGUGUGGCUUGGGGGUAAGGAAACAAUCGUUUAUUUAUAUCGUAAGUUAGUUUAUAAAAAUUAUUAUAGGCCAUUUGUAUAUCUACAUUUGACCAUCUUGUAAAGGUUAGUUAAAUUAGCCCUCAUUGAAAAGCAGGACAGAUACAACAUCCACAGAAAUCGUUUACUACGAUGUCCUAUUUUGGGUUAUUAAAGAAAGACAAAAAAAA